rnacentral:rRNA from 1 species
UACGUAGGGAGCAAGCGUUGUUCGGAUUUACUGGGCGUAAAGGGCGCGUAGGCGGCGCGACAAGUCACUUGUGAAAUCUCCGGGCUUAACUCGGAACGGUCAAGUGAAACUGUCAUGCUAGAGUGCAGAAGGGGCAAUCGGAAUUCUUGGUGUAGCGAUGAAAUGCGUAGAUAUCAAGAGGAACACCUGAGGUGAAGACGGGUUGCUGGGCUGACACUGACGCUGAGGCGCGAAAGCGUGGGGAGCAAACAGG